CCUACGGGGGGCAGCAGUAAGGAAUAUUGGUCAAUGGACGCAAGUCUGAACCAGCCAUGCCGCGUGGAGGAUGAAGGUCCUCUGGAUUGUAAACUUCUUUUAUUUGGGAAGAAACUCCCGAUUUCCAUCGGGAUUGACGGUACCAGAUGAAUAAGCACCGGCUAACUCCGUGCCAGCAGCCGCGGUAAUACGGAGGGUGCAGGCGUUAUCCGGAUUCACUGGUUCGUAGGGGUGCGGGUAAGGGCAGGUAGAAAUCUCCGUGCUUAACCCGGAAACUGCCAUUGAUACUAUUUGUCUUGAAUACUCUGGAGGUGAGCGGAAUAUGUCAUGUAGCGGUGAAAUGCUUAGAUAUGACAUAGAACACCCAUUGAGAAGGCAGCUCACUACGGAAAUAUUGACGCUGAGGCACGAAAGCGUGGGGAUCAAACAGGAUGAGAUACCCCGGUAGUC
rnacentral:rRNA from 1 species